AGAAAAGUGCACAUGUGAUAACAUGAUUACCAGGUGAUGAAAAUUCAUUUUAAAAAUAUUAUUUGACAUCGAAAUAUUGUGUCUACAGUUGUACUUGUUGUAAAUUGUGUUUAACUAAACUAUAUCAGCUUGCCGAGUUGUGAAUUAACUUCUAAACUUCAGGCAAGAAAACUGAAUCAACUUGUCAGCUUGAAAAUCUUUUCUUCUUUACUGAAUAUUUGAUAUAUUACAAUGCUGUCCGCAUUGAAGAAUAUGUACCACAUAAUGACGAGGAUUAGUCACAACAUCGGAUGGACAAUGAGUCAAAGACAAAGUUCCCACUACAAAGUGGAAUACAGACCGACUAAAAACAUUUUAGUGGCCAAUCGAGGGUAUUUUGUGCUUGUGCUGAAUUGGGAGAAAGUCAAUGGAGCGAUGUUCAAAUUUAUCCCCAUCAAAAAUUGAAGUAAAUGUCCCGAAAAUUCCUACAGCAACUUUGCCACCACCCGGGCUGUAAGACGUUUAUAAGAAAACUGGGCCGAGUGCUUAUGCAAAAGAAGUUAGAACGAGGAAGCAGCACCUUCUUACAGACACAACAUUUAGAGACGCCCAUGAGAGCCUCUUAGCCACAAGAGUUAGGACGAUAGAUUUAUGGAAAAUAUCUCCUUAUGUGGCACAAUUUCUCAAAUCUGUAUUCAAUUGAAAACUGGGGCGGUGCCACAUUUGAUGUAAGUAUGAGAUUCCUCCAUGAGUGCCCUUGGGAAAGGCUUGAAGAAUUGCACAAAAGAAUUCCAAAUACAUCUCCGAGGAGCAAAUGCAGUUGGGUACACCAACUACCGAGACAACAUAAUUUUCAAGUAUUUAUUGCUAAUUAAUUUUGUGUUGUCAAUAAUUGUCUUUCUAUUUUUGACAACAGGUUUUCUGGACAAGCAGUCCAGAUUAGACUACUUGUUCGCAAAAUCUGUUGGGAAUUCUUUUGCGCAAUUCUUCAAGCCUUUCUCAAGGGCACUCAUGCAGGAAUCUCAUACUUACAUCAAAUGUGGCAAUAUCUAGUUUCUUUUCACCUUAGCUUUUUCAUUGUCAUGAUUAAAAAACAUGAAAAAAUAUGAUGUAAUAUUUAAAAAAAAAAAAAAAAUGAAAACAGUCAUUUCAUUUUGACUGGGUUAUUAUAUUUGCCAGUUCAGACCCUCAAAAUGUUAAUCAGUUUUGUAUACCCUCAAAAUGGUCAAGGGAUGAAAUGAUCUGUUCAAAAAACAACGAACCAAAAGAUUCAUUCACCUUUAUUAUGUCACCAAGGAUAAUAUUGGCUUCUGCGUAGGCCUUUUUCACCGCUUCAAACUUUUCACCUAAACAAAGCGAAAAUGCUGGAAACUGUAAAUUCGUGUACUGGCCACCUGGUAUUUUGUUCUGAUACACAUCCGCGUUACCCGACUUCAUGGUUGCAGUACAUUUGAAAGGGGCGUACAGCGUUCUAGCUUGUUCCCAGUAUGCUGAAUACUCUGAUUCAUUCCAAAGACUAAUCCCUACAAAGAAUAUUUUAAGGAAGUCAUGGAUACCUACAAGAUCACAAAAUACAGCUUAUCAAACCUGUGUCUGAUGGGGUUCCUUGAAGCGAAGCGAUUACUGCGCCCAUCAAAGGCUGUGAUGUGAUGCCUGACAUUGAAUCCACAGCUACGUUGACAUCAGCACCGGCUUCGGCACAAGCGAGCAUUGAAGCCACGCCGGCUCCGCUUGUGUCAUGAGUGUGUAUGUGGAUGGGAAUAUCUGGGUGUUGAUCCCUUAGAGCUGAAAUUAACAUUUUAGCCGCUUU
rnacentral:lncRNA from 1 species